UACGGAGGGUGCAAGCGUUAUCCGGAUUUAUUGGGUUUAAAGGGUCCGUAGGCGGAUCUGUAAGUCAGUGGUGAAAUCUCACAGCUUAACUGUGAAACUGCCAUUGAUACUGCAGGUCUUGAGUGUUAUUGAAGUAGCUGGAAUAAGUAGUGUAGCGGUGAAAUGCAUAGAUAUUACUUAGAACACCAAUUGCGAAGGCAGGUUACUAAGCAACAACUGACGCUGAUGGACGAAAGCGUGGGUAGCGAACAGG
rnacentral:rRNA from 1 species